rnacentral:rRNA from 1 species
ACUGCUCAGUAACACGUCGAUAAUCUGCCCUUAGGUCUGGGAUAACCUCGGGAAACUGAGGCUAAACCCGGGUAGGAAAUUUCUUCUGGAAUGGGUUAUUUCUGAAAGGCAACGCCUAAGGAUGAGUUGGCGGCUGAUUAGGCAGUUGGUGGUGUAACGUAGCGCAAAAGCAAGCUUUUGCUGAUUACAAAGCUUUGCGCUUUAUAAGACCACCAAACCUAAGAUCAGUAGGGGCCUUGGAAGAGGUCGCCCCGAGAAGGGCACUGAGAUACUGGCCCUAGCUCCACGGAGUGCAGCAGGCGCGAAACCUUUACACUGCACGAAAGUGUGAUAAGGCAACCCUCAGUGCUCACACACUGUGUGAGCUUUUGCCAAGAGCAAAAAUCUCGGCGAAUAAGUAGUGGGCAAGACCGGUGCCAGCCGCCGCGGUAACACCGGCGCCACGAGUAGUGAUCGCGGUUAUUGGGCCUAAAGCAUUCGUAGCCGGCUUGGUAAAUUUUCUGUGAAAUCAUUGGGCUUAACCUAAUGGCGUGCAGGAAACACUGCCAUGCUUGGGACUGGGGGGAGUGGAAGGUAUUCCGUAGGGAGCGGUAAAAUACACUCGCUAGCGUUCGUAACUGCAAAUGCUAGGAGCGUUUACAGUGCUAUAGUCUACGGAGGACCACCUGUGGCGAAGGCGUUCCACUAGAACAGCUCUGACGGUGAGGAAUGAAAGCUAGGGGAGCAAUCCGGAUUAGAUACCCGAGUAGUCCUAGCUGUAAACCCUGCGAGCUAGGUGUUGCAUAUUCUUCGUGAAUGUGCAGUGUCGUAGUGAAGGCGUUAAGCUCGCCGCCUGGGAAGUACGGUCGCAAGACUGAAACUUAAAGGAAUUGGCGGGGGAGCA